GUGGUAUUUCUGUAACACUUAAGGAAUCUUUUGAUACAGCAGCAGCAGCAGGACGGCCCACUGACCAAACCUUACCUACAGCGGCUGGCGAGGAAGGCCUCCUUCAGUAGCAGCGAGAGUGUCUUCACCCCCGUAGACAACAGCACAGUGAAGGCAACACCGUGUGUGUGUGGCUCCAAUCACUUACUCCACACCCGUCGAGGACUCACCAACCCCCAGGACCACCUCUCCAAGUCCUGCGGGGAUGUUUCUCCUGCCUCGCCCAUCCCACAGAAGCCAAUGCUUGAGGAGCUGGUCAGGUCCGAGCCCAGCCUGCCUAGGGGUCAACAACAAUCACCGUCAGGGUUUGUUGGUCCUGUCUUAAGACGAGUUUCCCAGAUGUUCCUUGGGUCAUCUCCCUUCCUUUGGCCCACCCCAGAGACUAAGAGGAGGCUGGAUAUUAAGAAAACAGAAAGCAAGUUACCCUUAGAGAGUAAAGGAGCAAGCUGUAAGAGGCCAGUGACCAGAAGUGUAGCAGAAGGUGGGACCUCGUGGGGAGACAGAGCAAUCCUCGGUGGUAGUAACUCACCCCGGAGAGCGGCAUCUGUCUCAUCGACAUCAUUCCAACCUUUUAAAUAUACUCGCCUGCAGAAUGACAACAAUGGUAAAUGGUCUUCGCUAACUGCCUGCCUCAACUCCCAGUGCCCCAGCGAAACCCUUCAUACCCCAGAAGUCAUCAGUUCCCGUAAGUUCCCACCAUAGUAGCCAAAAGGACAUCAAUGCCCACAAUAAUAGCCAAGAGGACAUCACUGCCCACCAUAGUAGCCAAGAGGACAUCACUGCCCACAUUAAUAGCCAAGAGGACAUCACUGCCCACAAUAAUAGCCAAAAGGACAUCACUACCCACAAUAAUAACCAAGAGGACAUCACUACCCACAAUAAUAACCAAGAGGACAUCACUACCCACAAUAAUAGCCAAGAGGACAUCACUACCCACAAUAAUAACCAAGAGGACAUCACUACCCACAAUAAUAGCCUAUCACUACCCACAAUAAUAACCUAUCACUACCCACAAUAAUAACCAAGAGGACAUCACUACCCUAUCAGUUCACAUAAUCAGUACUUCUCAUCACUAAACACAGUCAACAUUUUCCAUCGCCACACACACUUCCCAUCGCCACACACACUUCCCAUCGCCACA